AUGGAUGGAAUUAAGGUGUGCAGAAAUGCACCGUCAGUUUCACACCUUUUAUUUGCUGACGAUUCCUUAAUUCUCAUGAAGGCGGAUAUGAAUAAUGCAACUUCCUUACAGCAGGCACUUGAAAUUUAUUGUGCAAAUUCUGGACAAAUGGUGAGUGCAACAAAAUCGAGUGUUUUCUUCAGUCCAAAUACGGAUGUUGAUAUAAAAACAGAGAUAUGUCAGUGUUUGAACAUUGAUACUGAAGCACUAUCUGACAAAUAUUUGGGUCUUCCGGCACUAGUAGGAGCAGAUAGAAGUGACUAUUUUAAGCACUUUGUUGAGAGGGUAUGCUUCAGAACAAAGGGAUGGAAUGAGAAACAACUGUCUAUACAAGGUAAAGAAAUUUUAUUAAAGGUUGUGGCUUAG
rnacentral:rRNA from 1 species